rnacentral:rRNA from 1 species
GAUGAACGCUGGCGGCGUGCCUAAUACAUGCAAGUCGAGCGAACAGACGAGGAGCUUGCUCCUCUGACGUUAGCGGCGGACGGGUGAGUAACACGUGGAUAACCUACCUAUAAGACUGGGAUAACUUCGGGAAACCGGAGCUAAUACCGGAUAAUAUAUUGAACCGCAUGGUUCAAUAGUGAAAGACGGUUUUGCUGUCACUUAUAGAUGGAUCCGCGCCGCAUUAGCUAGUUGGUAAGGUAACGGCUUACCAAGGCAACGAUGCGUAGCCGACCUGAGAGGGUGAUCGGCCACACUGGAACUGAGACAUGGUCCAGACUCCUACGGGAGGCAGCAGUAGGGAAUCUUCCGCAAUGGGCGAAAGCCUGACGGAGCAACGCCGCGUGAGUGAUGAAGGUCUUCGGAUCGUAAAACUCUGUUAUUAGGGAAGAACAAAUGUGUAAGUAACUAUGCACGUCUUGACGGUACCUAGUCAGAAAGCCACGGCUAACUACGUG